rnacentral:lncRNA from 1 species
AGAUUUAAGAAUAGUCUUUUCUGCAGUCACAUUUUCAUCAAUGGAUAAUAAGAUGAAUGACCUCUAUCAUCUCUUCUGUCAAUACAAGUUUUUCAAUCACUUCAUGACUUGUUGUUUCAUAUUUUCCUUAGGAAAAUACUCUGAUCCUUUUAGAUCUGUUUGUACAAUUUUUAUUUUUGGUAACAUGUUACAUGUUUUUUCUCCUGGAUUAAGAAGUGACACUCCUCAUAAAUG